GCCGCAUUCGUCUAGUGGCCUAGGACACCACCCUCUCAAGGUGGCGACACGGGUUCGACUCCCGUAUGCGGUA
rnacentral:tRNA from 1 species